rnacentral:pre_miRNA from 13 species
UCCUGUGUUGCAGUUUCGUUUUGUGACCGACACUAACGGGUAAUUGUUUGGCCAGCAGGAUUACUCGUUUUUGCGAUCACAAAUCAUGAAAUUGCAGCAA